AGAGUUUGAUCCUGGCUCAGAAUCAACGCUGGCGGCGUGCCUAACACAUGCAAGUCGAACGAGAAAGGGUAGCAAUACCUGAGUAAAGUGGCGCACGGGUGAGUAACACGUGACUAACCUACCCUGGAGUGGGGGAUAACUGAGGGAAACCUUAGCUAAUACCGCAUAAUACCCACGGGUCAAAGGAGCAAUUCGCUUUGGGAGGGGGUCGCGGCCGAUUAGUUAGUUGGCGGGGUAACGGCCCACCAAGACGAUGAUCGGUAUCCGGCCUGAGAGGGCGCACGGACACACUGGAACUGAAACACGGUCCAGACUCCUACGGGAGGCAGCAGUGGGGAAUUUUGCGCAAUGGGGGAAACCCUGACGCAGCAACGCCGCGUGGAGGAUGAAGUCCUUCGGGACGUAAACUCCUUUCGAUCGGGACGAUAAUGACGGUACCGGAAGAAGAAGCCCCGGCUAACUUCGUGCCAGCAGCCGCGGUAAUACGAGGGGGGCGAGCGUUGUUCGGAAUUAUUGGGCGUAAAGGGUGCGUAGGCGGUUUGGUAAGUCUUGUGUGAAAUCUCCAGGCUCAACUUGGAGUCUGCACGAGAAACUGCCGGGCUGGAGUGUGGGAGAGGUGAGUGGAAUUUCCGGUGUAGCGGUGAAAUGCGUAGAUAUCGGAAGGAACACCUGUGGCGAAAGCGGCUCACUGGACCACAACUGACGCUGAUGCACGAAAGCUAGGGGAGCAAACAGGAUUAGAUACCCCGGUAGUCC
rnacentral:rRNA from 1 species